rnacentral:rRNA from 1 species
GCCUAAAACCAAGCCUGAUCUAACCUGUAUAUAUCCUACACCCUUUACAGUAAGUUGAAUAAAACAUUUAAACUGUUUAGUAGAGGCGAUCAAAAAAUAAAUUAGAGCUUCAUAAAAAGUACCGCAAGGGAAUGGUGAAAUAAAUAUGAAAUAGCUUUAAAGCACACUAUAGCAGAGUAAUUCCCUCGUACCUUUUGCAUCAUGGUUUAGCAAGUCUUUAUCAAGCAAAGCGAGACACAAGUUUGAUUCCCCGAAACUGGGCGAGCUACUUCGAAACAGCUUUUAGAGCCAACCCGUCUCUGUCGCAAAAGAGUGGGAUGAUUUCCAAGUAGAAGUGAUAAGCCUAUCGAGCCCAGAGAUAGCUGGUUAUUCAGAAAAAGAAUAUUAGUUCUACCUUAAGCUUAACAAUUACCAUAAAAAUAAACAUAAACUUAAGAGUUAUUCAAAUAAGGCACAGCUUGUUUGAAAAAGGACACAACCUAAAAUAAUGGGUAAGUAAUACUACGCACCUCUAAGUGGGCCUGAAAGCAGCCACCUUUUAAAAAGCGUUAAAGCUUAGUUACUAAUUAAUCUUUUAAUUCCAUCAUUUUUUUACGAACCCUCAAUCAAAACUGAAUAAUCCUAUAACCCUAUAGGAGAUAUAAUGCUAAAACUAGUAACAAGAAGUAGACCUUCUCCAAAAUGCAAGCAAAAACCAAUACGGACUGACCAUUGGCUAUUAACGCCUAUGAAUUUAAUAUAGCAACUAACCUAGCAAACUCUAUAUACUUUGACGUUAACCUUACACAAGAGCAUUCCUGGAAAGAUUAAAAGAAAGAGAAGGAACUCGGCAAAUUCAGGCCUCGCCUGUUUACCAAAAACAUCGCCUCUUGCUUAACAUAAGAGGUCCAGCCUGCCCAGUGACACAAUUAAACGGCCGCGGUACCCUGACCGUGCGAAGGUAGCAUAAUAACUUGUUCUUUAAAUGGGGACUAGCAUGAACGGCACCACGAAGGCCUCACUGUCUCCUUUUUCUAAUCAGUGAAACUGAUCUCCCCGUGAAGAAGCGGAGAUAAUAAUAUAAGACGAGAAGACCCCAUGGAGCUUUAAACCCAGCAAGCAAUCCUAAUUUACACAACCCAUCUAAAUUAUUCCUCCCCUGCUUCCUGGUUUUAGGUUGGGGUGACCGCGGAGUAAAACACAUCCUCCAUGACGUACGAGAUUAACCCUUAUCCAAGAACUACCCCUCUAAGAAUCGAUAAAUCGACGUUUCAUGAUCCAAUAUAUUGAUCAACGAACCAAGUUACCCUGGGGAUAACAGCGCAAUCCAUUUUAAGAGCCCCUAUCGACGAAUGGGUUUACGACCUCGAUGUUGGAUCAGGGUACCCAAGUGGUGCAGCCGCU